UAUGAAGAACGCAGCGAACUGCGAUAAGUAAUGUGAAUUGCAGAAUUCAGUGAAUCAUCGAGUCUUUGAACGCACAUUGCGCCCCCUGGCAUUCCGGGGGGCAUGCCUGUCCGAGCGUCAUUGCUGCCCUUCAAGCCCGGCUUGUGUGUUGGGUCGUCGUCCCCCCCGGGGGACGGGCCCGAAAGGCAGCGGCGGCACCGCGUCCGGUCCUCGAGCGUAUGGGGCUUUGUCACCCGCUCGAUUAGGGCCGGCCGGGCGCCAGCCGGCGUCUCCAACCUUCUAUUUUACCAGGUUGACCUCGGAUCAGGUAGGGAUACCCGCUGAACUUAAGCAUAUCAAUAAGCGGAGGA
rnacentral:misc_RNA from 1 species